CGUCCGUACCACGGGAGCCCAUCCGAAUGGGCUGAGAGGGCGGCUGGGGCCGCCGACCGUUCGAACCUGUCCGGGUCAUGCCGGCGUAGGGAGACAGCUGUGCGUGCUG
rnacentral:ncRNA from 2 species